rnacentral:lncRNA from 1 species
AAUUCCACUUAAUUCUUCUUCCAUUAACUCAUUAACAUUUAGUGGGUUAAUUCAGUCACCAAUCAUAUUGAUAAUUGACAUCAAUUAUGAUUCUAAAUCAUAAUUACGAUAAUUUGACUAAUCAAAUCCUUUAUGUGUACGAUCCUGUAGGUUCUAUUCUGUCUGGUAGUAAGACAUAUUGAGAUCUCCAUCUCAAUAUCACUGAAACUCCUUUUAGUGGACUGAAAUAAUUUCAGGUCUACUAAUCAUCAAGUGAAUGCCUUCAAGUCUCACAAUCCACUAGUGACACCUAGCAGUAUGUGGUGGCAACCCAGCAGAAUGGAAUGUCUAAACCUCUUAGUGCAGUUAGCGCAUGAUACAGUCCUUUUAUCAUGGAUCCCGACAUGACAGAGGUUAUGGAUAACUCGUCAAACUCCAUCGUCCAUCAUAUGUCAAAUUUAUUCGACCUCUAGUUCGAGAUAUGAAAAACUCUUUUUCCAAAAUAUCUGGCUAGGAAUUUAUCGAACUGAGUCUCAUAAAUCACGUAGGAUCACUCUUAAUCUAUCAAGAUCGAUAGAUUCAAUUUAGAUGCAACCCUAUUCCAAAAUGAACCUACUAUAGCCAAUCCGCACCACAAGGAUCCGAAUGGCUAGGGUCCAAGUUUGUAUACUCGUCAAACUACAGCAACCUCACAGUGAAUAGUUGAGGCAUCUUAGGUCCAAGAACCAGUCAUACAACUGCAACAUAAGUAGUCACUGACGAGUGGAUAGACAUCCAUGUAACUACUUUCUUCGGCCACGUUCAAUACCUUGUUCUCUAACAAGUACUUGCACAAUCACUCCAAUGUCUCUACACUGUGGACUCGAGACUCAUCCAUCUGACUAAGUGAUCUAUGCACUAAUCUUAUCAGAUCGAUCACCGUCCCUCAUGAUGGAUCCAUCGAUCAGGAACAUUUAGAAAUUAAUCCCUAAUGACACAUGC